AAACGUUUUCAUCCCUGAGAGAAAUACAUGGGCUAUCUUCAGCACAGAACACAAACUCUGCCUUCUUUUCUCAAGUCCAGUGAUUCAAGUUUGACACACCACACCGCAGCGGAUGUGCCUUGUCUUUACACGUCUUCUCAGUAGCACCAAAAAAUACAUCCAAAGACAUGUGGGCAAGGUCUGUGGUAUUUGUUUAUUAUGGCAGCCCAGGCAGUCUAAGACAGGCCAUCAUAAGACGUGAACGUUUUGGACCUUCUCUUGUGAUCUAAUAAACAGAAAUCAGGAAACAGAAGGAAGUCUAACUGAGACCUCAGGGCUUAUUGUUGCAAGCGAAAAGCAGGCUGAAAGAAAAAAGGAAGAAAACUUUGUGAGUGUGCUGCCAAGCCUCACUUUUCUGUCAUGAUUGGAAGGUUUGAUGGCACCCAGAAUGACUCAUGAAAGAUGGAAGAGCUGCAGCAUUACAAUAAAAGCCAUCUUGCAA